AGGGAAUCUUCCACAAUGGACGAAAGUCUGAUGGAGCAAUGCCGCGUGAGCGAUGAAGGCCUUCGGGUCGUAAAGCUCUGUUGUUAGGGAAGAACAAGUACCGGAGUAACUGCCGGUACCUUGACGGUACCUAACCAGAAAGCCACGGCUAACUUCGUGCCAGCAGCCGCGGUAAUACCUAGGUGGCAAGCGUUGUCCGGAAUUAUUGGGCGUAAAGCGCGCGCAGGCGGUCCUUUAAGUUUGAUGUGAAAGCCCACGGUUCAACCGUGGAGGGUCAUUGGAAACUGGGGGACUUGGGUUCGGAUUAGGAAAGCGGAAUUCCUUC
rnacentral:rRNA from 1 species